UGUCACACGAGUGAAUCAUCGAAUCUUUGAACGCACUUUGCACCUUGUGGCUUUUGUCACAAGGUAUACUUGUUUGAGAAUCUGUUACAACUCACCUCCCCUUCGGGGCGAAGUGAACUUGAGAUUCGAUGGGUCGCCUUGGUUUGGCUGCUGCUGCUUUCGUGGUGGUAGACGUGAACAAAAGGAGGACGAGUCGUCUCUUUAAAUGCGUGGUCAUUGUGGGAGGUCUCCGCCUGGAGCCGACAGACUAUUGGGAUAACAUCCUAACGAUCGUUUGUCGGUCCAACAUUGGGUGUUGACUGACCUAGGCUAACCUUGGACGAGACAUGCUGCGCGUAAAAACCGUAGUGUGUCGAAUCCGUAAGAGGAGGGGGGGCGAACCAACCAACCUCUUGUGCAUAGGAUCUCAAAUCAAGUAAGGAUACCCGCUGAACUUAAGCAUAUCAAUAAGCGGAGG
rnacentral:rRNA from 1 species